rnacentral:rRNA from 1 species
UACGUAGGGAGCAAGCGUUGUCCGGAAUCAUUGGGCGUAAAGCGCGCGUAGGUGGCUUCGUAAGUCCGUUGUGAAAGUCAAAGGCUCAACCUUUGAAUGCCGAUGGAUACUGCGGAGCUAGAGUACGGAAGAGGCGAGUGGAAUUCCUGGUGUAGCGGUGAAAUGCGCAGAUAUCAGGAGGAACACCAAUGGCGAAGGCAGCUCACUGGGACGGUAUUGACGCUGAGACGCGAAAGCGUGGGGAGCAAACAGG